rnacentral:lncRNA from 1 species
AUAAUUAUAUUAAUUAAUUAAACGUCGAUUCCGAUUGCGAUUCUUGCUCUAUUUUUGCGAAGUAAACGCCGUCAAUCUUUCUGAUUCCGAAUUCCAAUUCCCCAAUCCGGGAAGUAAACGAACUAUAAACUUAAUUCUAGGGAUGGCAAUGGGGAGGGGAGGGGAGGAGACCGAUCUCCCCGUACCCAUCCCCGAUAUUUUGCGUAUGUCCCCGUCCCCGUCAGAAUUACUUGAGAGAAUCUCCAUCCCCUCCCCGAAUAAUAACAGGGGAUCCCCGAGGGUCCCCGAUCCCCGAAUAACUAAUAUAUUUUUUUUUCGAUUUUGAGUUAAUCAUAUUAAAAUAAAAAAUUCAAAUAAAAGUAAAGUUCGAAAUAUAUCUUACGUUAAUAGCUAUUACAAAAGUCACAUACAUUAAAUUAGUAAGUAACGCAACAUGCAAGGAAUACAAAUUUCUUUUACAAACUAUCAUGAACAAAUUAAUAGUCUAAUACAAAAUUGUUACAAAUAAAAUCGAGUUUAGAUUCAAAAUUAACUUUUUCAAUGGUGGCAUGGGCACUUUAUGAAUGUGGACUAUUCCCUUUACAACACAAUAGUUAAAUCGGAGCAAAUCAAAAGUAAAUAUUAUAUUAGAUUAGAUUAGAUUAGCUAUUAAAAUUGUAAUUCGCUGUGGGCAAUUAUAACAUC